UGCAUCGGCCGGGAAUCGAACCCAGGCCACCCGCGUGGCAGGCCACUGAACCACUUCUACCACUGAACCACCGAUGC